CACGUAGGCGGAUAUUUAAGUCAGGGGUGAAAUCCUGGAGCUCAACUCCAGAACUGCCUUUGAUACUGAAGAUCUUGAGUUCGGGAGAGGUGAGUGGAACUGCGAGUGUAGAGGUGAAAUUCGUAGAUAUUCGCAAGAACACCAGUGGCGAAGGCGGCUCACUGGCCCGAUACUGACGCUGAGGCACGAAGCGUGGGGAGCAAACA
rnacentral:rRNA from 1 species